ensembl:lncRNA
CUGUCUCUUUACCCAUCCUUUUCACCCUGAAGAGCCUGGAGGUAACCAGACUAAGAAACAUUCAACUCUGUUUAACAUGAGGAUGGAAGGAGGCAGGAGUCCAUGCCCACCUGAAGGGAUUACCUCUCCCAAAGUUAUCCAGGUCUCAGAGGAUGCAAACAAUGGCUUUGGCAGAGCAGCAUGGUGACUCAGCGUGAAGUAGUGACGGCAGCUGCUCCCAGAUGCCAGCCAAAAACAGCUCGCUGAAACACUUCUUGGAAACAGCUGCUCCUCCUUUGCUAAGAAACCACGCAGUGUCACAGCAG